rnacentral:lncRNA from 1 species
AAAAACUUAGAGUUCUAUUUGAUCAAUACUUCAAACCUGUAUUUUUAAAAAUAAAUAAAUAAAUAUAUAUAAUAUAUAUAACAUUUAACCACUAAACUCAACCAACAAUUACAUUACUAUAAAAAAUAAAUCUAAAUAAUAGUAGAAAACAUUCUAUAAACUAAUCAAUGCUAAUAAUAUCCGUGGAUAAUAAAUUGUAAUUUUAAGAUCUCAAUGCAGCUACAAUUAUAUUAUUAUAAAAAAAACAAAUCUAAAUAAUAGUAGAACACAUACUACUACCUAAUCAAUGCUAACAAUACAAGUUGGUAAUAAAAAGUAAAUGAAUUGUAAUUUCAAUAUCUCAAUACAGUAGCAACUAUCUUACUAAAACAAAACAAAUCUCUAUAAUAGUAGAAUACAUACUACUAACUAAUUAAUCCUAACAAUAUCAGUAGAUAAUAAAAAGCAAAUGAGUUGUAAUUUCAAGAUCUCAAUAUAACAGCAAUGCACAACUUAAUAUGCACAAACGUUAUCAAAACUUAAAUGACAAAAAUGAAGCAAUACGAAAUUGAAUGCGACAAACAAACUUAGAUUCUAACAUCAACACAAACUUAGAUUCUAACAUCAACACAGAAAGCACAAUCUAGAAUGUAAAAACCGAUCAUGAUGGAUCUAAAACUCGGAAUUGAAUCACAACAUAAUCAAAAACUAAGUCAAGCUAGCAAACAAACGUAAAUCUACAAACAUAACCAAAUCUAAAUGAUACACAACUCAAACAGGACGAAAUUCAAACAGAAAAAUACCGAACACUACCUGAGUGAAACCGUCAUCGAAAGCUGCUAGUUAUUGUUGUUGUAUUGAAAUCUCCUUCAUUGUCAAGCCUGAAUCUCUUCCUGAUAAAACAUGACUGAGUUGAUUCAAAUGAUACUUGAUGCCUUUAUGUUACUAACCGUGGUAGUGAAAUCGUGUUGCUUCAACGCGUGCGGUCAUAUGAAGCAUGGUCGUUGUGUUAUGUGUGUCUAAGGUUUGUCGGACAUGGUGUUGGUUCAUGUAUGACGGAUCCAGUUGGAUUUCACUGUGUGGUUGUGUUGCGUUCAAAUUUUGUAUAUUUUUUUUUUGUGAUGAGGUUCGAAAACGAAUGUUGAGUUAGGUUACUUGAUGGUGAUGGUUUGUUUUUAUGGAGAAAAGAGUGGACCGAAGGAGUAUGUUGUAGUGCACAGCGGUGAUGAGCGGUUUGAUAAACGUUGUAGUUUAAGUCACGGUGGUUGAGAUGUGUACCGGAGAUUUUUUUGAAAUAUGGAUCAAUGGGUUCAAAUCGUGUGAAGUGGAGGUGGAGAUGUCGUGAGUUGAAGGAGGGGUUCGUUUAUGUUGAAAACGCUGGCGGGUGAGAGGGGUGAAUAUGGUAGAUGAACAAUGAGGGGUCUUUUUGUUGAAGAAGAGUAUAGUGGUCCUCUACAGAAAAUGAGAGAGGUAUCAAAAUGAUUUUUUUCUUCCAGCUUUUUUCCUUCUUUGUCCUUUCAACGUGUGAGAGGAGUAUUAUUAUGUGGUAAAUUGAGGAACCGCGUGGUUGACUAUUGGUGGAAGAGA